CAGAGCGUAGCUAAACAGCAAAGCAUCCCACUUACACUGAGAAAAUACCUGUGCAAAUCAGGCCGCCCUGA
rnacentral:tRNA from 1 species